rnacentral:misc_RNA from 1 species
AAAGGGGUAGCUAAAGCGUAAGCUUCUGGCGAAUCUCAAAAAAGCAGUCUCAGUUCGGAUUGAAGUCUGCAACUCGACUUCAUGAAGUUGGAAUCGCUAGUAAUCGCGAAUCAGCAUGUCGCGGUGAAUACGUUCUCGGGGUUUGUACACACCGCCCGUCAAACCACGAAAGUUGGCAAUACCCAAAGCCGGUGGCCUAACUUGAGCAAUCAAGAAGGAGCCGUCUAAGGUAGGGUUGAUGAUUGGGGUUAAGUCGUAACAAGGUAUCCCUACCGGAAGGUGGGGAUGGAUCACCUCCUUUCUAAGGAUAAAGUUAUCAUCUUCAGUUUUGAGAGACUUAAGAAAGUUUUUCAUUUUUUAAGAUUCGGGCCUAUAGCUCAGCUGGUUAGAGCACACGCCUGAUAAGCGUGAGGUCGGUGGUUCGAGUCCAUUUAGGCCCACCAAAUU